rnacentral:rRNA from 1 species
UACGUAGGGGGCAAGCGUUAUCCGGAUUUACUGGGUGUAAAGGGGGCGCAGACGGCAGCGCAAGCCAGGAGUGAAAGCCCGGGGCCCAACCCCGGGACUGCUCUUGGAACUGCGCGGCUGGAGUGCAGGAGGGGCAGGCGGAAUUCCUGGUGUAGCGGUGAAAUGCGUAGAUAUCAGGAGGAACACCGGUGGCGAAGGCGGCCUGCUGGACUGCGACUGACACUGAGGCUCGAAAGCGUGGGGAGCAAACAGG